GUUUGUAAUACUCUGCAUGUUUAUUAGAUUUGAUAAUUAAUCAGAUUAGAAGUCCUAGGUGUGUAUUUUGGUGGUCCUCGAAAAUCGUACAUAUCUAAUUUAUUCUGAAUGCAACUGAUGGAAAACCAACUGACAUGGUUGCGGUGUGAGGGGAUAGAAUUGAUAAGGCUUGAUAUCAAUAAUAAAUCCGGUAUUUUAGCAGAUUGAAAAUUUGACGAGGAAAAAAGUUUUAUAAGGACACAUGACUCCCAACUUUAAAAUGAAGUGAAAUUAUUACAUAUUAUUAUCUAAAAUAUGACGCCACGAUAACCGAUAAAUAUACCCAUGAGAAGUAUUAAAAAACUCGAUUAAAAUCGUCUCGCCGGUUUACCGCUUGGUAAUCAAUUCGUGAGUGUAGUUUAACACGCGCGAAUCCUCAAAAAAGCAUAAAAAAAAUUUAAUAAUAUGCAUUUAUUUUUUCGAAGUUUAAUCAUAAUCAGAUAUUUGUGAUGAAGGUACCUAUACUGAAAAAUACGUUUGACUGUCGAAAGUUUAAAUAAUUUUCGUGAAUAACUCUUACGGACCAGCCGAACAAAGCGGACAAUAAACGCGAUAAGGACGAAUCCCUGCAAUAAUUUACGAUAGUAUAUCGUCUGAAUAAUUUCGUUGGCUGUAUAUCCGAUAUACUUUAUUACUUUAACCACUACUAUAAACCGCGAUUCAAUACGUGUAUGUACCGUCGAUAGUAAAAAAUUAUGUCCAAUCCGCCGAAUCUAUAGAAAAAACUCGGGACGGUGUUCGACUGCAAUAGCUACAGAUAACCCAAUUACUACAGAAGUUAUUCACUCAAGUGUUUACAUGCGUCAAUAGUCAAUAAAGUUUUUAAACAUCAUUUAUUUUUUUCACCAUCGUUGCUGUAUUGACAUUAUG